rnacentral:rRNA from 1 species
UCGGCAACGGAUAUCUCGGCUCUCGCAUCGAUGAAGAACGUAGCGAAAUGCGAUACUUGGUGUGAAUUGCAGAAUCCCGUGAACCAUCGAGUCUUUGAACGCAAGUUGCGCCCGAAGCCUUCGGGCCGAGGGCACGCCUGCCUGGGCGUCACGCAUCGCGUC